UCUCUUACAGGCAAUCGGUAAAUUGAUCUCCCUGUGCAAAAGCAGGGAUAACCCCAUAAGACGAGAAGACCCUGUGGAACUUAAAAAUCAGCAACCAACCCUAAAACAUACACCCCCACCCCGGGCUCACCCACCACAUAGGGCCACUGGUCUGCAUUUUUCGGUUGGGGCGACCUUGGAGCAAAACAAAUCCUCCAAAUAUUGGACCACUCCUCCAAACCGAGAGCAACCCCUCAACGUGCUAAUAGCACCCAGACCCAAUAUAAUUGAUCAAUGGACCAAGCUACCCCAGGGAUAACAGCGCAAUCUCCCCCAAGAGUCCUUAUCGACGGGGAGGUUUACGACCUCGAUGUUGGAUCAGGACAUCCUAGUGGUG
rnacentral:rRNA from 1 species